rnacentral:rRNA from 1 species
ACGCAACGCGCAGAACCUUACCUGGGCUUGACAUCCCGAUCGCACUUUCUGGAAACAGAGAGGUCAGUUCGGCUGGAUCGGUGACAGGUGCUGCAUGGCUGUCGUCAGCUCGUGUCGUGAGAUGUUGGGUUAAGUCCGCAACGAGCGCAACCCUCGUCCUUAGUUGCCAGCAUUAAUUGGGCACUCUAAGGAGACUGCCGGUGUUAAACCGGAGGAAGGCGGGGAUGACGUCAAGUCCUCAUGGCCCUUAUGUCCAGGGCUACACACGUGCUACAAUGGCCGGUACAAAGGGUAGCAAGACCGCGAGGUGGAGCCAAUCCCAAAAAGCCGGUCUCAGUUCGGAUUGGAGUCUGCAACUCGACUCCAUGAAGUUGGAAUCGCUAGUAAUCGUGGAUCAGCAUGCCACGGUGAAUACGUUCCCGGGCCUU